AUCCUUUGGUUCAUGAGCGUGAUGAUUGGGGGUUCAUGCCUUAUGCAUGAGAUAUGCCUCCCUCAAACCUUGUUACGAUGUGGUCACAUUACCUGUCUGACG